UGAAAUAACUUAUUUAGAGACAAUGGAUCUUAUUGAAGAGAAGCUAAUGGCCUAAAUAUUUUUAGCUCAUUUCCUCAGAUUUUACAAAGUAUGUUGCACAGUGAAAGGGAAACAGGAUUUGAUUUCAUUCCCAAUUUUGUCACUUAUGAGUAUUUUUAGGAGGAGCAAAAAAGACUAUUGCUGAUGGAGUACUACGUGUUUGGAGACACUGAAAAAACAUUGUGCUGAUCGUAUGAGGCCAGGCUCCUAGGCAGAUGGAACUUGCCUUGUCUUAGAUGAGACCUUUGGCUGUGGACUUUUGAGUUAAUGCUGAAAUGGGGGCUGUUGCUAGGCCACUAGAACAAAAAUACAUGAAACCAACUGAAACUAAGAUGAGAUUUGCUGCCUGGAAACAAGCCCAGCCAAUCCCAGUGAAAGCCAGCUGAUCCAAUGACUAAAACAGAGCCUCAGCCAAUAUCUACACCAACGAAUGGAGAAAUAAAAGUUCAUGGUUUAAACAACUCAAUCAGGAUGUUGUAUUUUAUAGCAUUAUUUUGACAAGAGCUGAUAAAUACAGAAAUUGAUACCAGAUAUAGGGUGCUGAUAGUAAUGUAUAGUGAGGAAACCCUUUUAAGAGGCUGAAAAAAUAAAGGCAUCUAUUAUGUAGAAAUAUGACUUUGGGGACUGUCAUUUCACUAAGUGGAAAAAUUCUACACAUGUAUCUAGUAAAUUAAUUUUCAAAGAAGUUUAUAGGUAAAACUUUAAUAGUGUAGACUAUAUUUGAUAAGGUAUAACAAUAACAAACCUGAUAAGCUCAGAAAAGGACUAGCCAAUUUGUCAAUAGAAAUGUGAAAGAACAGAAAAAGAUAAGAAACUGAAUAGUAAUUAAAAUUAUUUCUAACCAAAGUUGUGACCAUUAAAAAGUAGCCACUAGAAAAAGGCAAAAUUCAACAUGCGAUCACAAGACAUGCCAUUAAGACAAAUAUAAAAUCAAAGACAUGUAAAAGGAUUAAGUUGGCUUUAAUAGGCU
rnacentral:lncRNA from 1 species